GACGAACGCUGGCGGCGUGCUUAACACAUGCAAGUCGAACGGAAAGGCCCUGCUUUUGUGGGGUGCUCGAGUGGCGAACGGGUGAGUAACACGUGAGUAACCUGCCCUUGACUUUGGGAUAACUUCAGGAAACUGGGGCUAAUACCGGAUAGGAGCUCCUGCUGCAUGGUGGGGGUUGGAAAGUUUCGGCGGUUGGGGAUGGACUCGCGGCUUAUCAGCUUGUUGGUGGGGUAGUGGCUUACCAAGGCUUUGACGGGUAGCCGGCCUGAGAGGGUGACCGGCCACAUUGGGACUGAGAUACGGCCCAGACUCCUACGGGAGGCAGCAGGGGGGAAUAUUGCACAAUGGGCGGAAGCCUGAUGCAGCAACGCCGCGUGCGGGAUGACGGCCUUCGGGUUGUAAACCGCUUUCGCCGGUGACGAAGCGUGAGUGACGGUAAUGGGUAAAGAAGCACCGGCUAACUACGUG
rnacentral:rRNA from 1 species